rnacentral:rRNA from 1 species
GUGCCAGCAGCCGCGGUAAUACGAAGGGUGCGAGCGUUGUUCGGAAUUACUGGGCGUAAAGGGUUCGUAGGCGGGAACUUAAGUCAAGUGUGAAAUCCCCAGGCUCAACCUGGGACGUGCACCUGAAACUGGGUUUCUUGAGUAACGGAGAGGGCAAUGGAAUUGCUGGUGUAGGAGUGACAUCCGUAGAGAUCAGCAGGAACACCGGAGGCGAAGGCGAUUGCCUGGCCGUUUACUGACGCUGAGGAACGAAAGCGUGGGGAGCAAACAGGAUUAGAUACCCUGGUAGUCC